rnacentral:rRNA from 1 species
AUUGAACGCUGGCGGUAUGCUUAACACAUGCAAGUCGAACGGCAGCAGCGGAGUGAAGGCAACGGAUCUUUGGCUGGCGAGUGGCGGACGGGUGAGUAACGCGUAGGGAUCUAGCCUAGAGCGGGGGAUAACUCGAGGAAACUCGAGCUAAUACCGCAUAAACUCGCAAGAGCAAAGAGGGCCUCUAUAUAUAAGCUCUCACUUUAGGAUGAACCUGCGUCCGAUUAGCUGGUUGGUAGGGUAAAGGCCUACCAAGGCGACGAUCGGUACCUGUUCUGAGGGGAAGACAAGCCACACUGGGACUGAGACACGGCCCAGACUCCGACGGGAGGCAGGAGGGGGAAGAGUGGACAAUGGGGGCAACCCUGAUCCAGCAAUACCGCGUGUGUGAAGAAGGCCUGCGGGUUGUAAAGCACUUUUGUUGGGGAGGAGAGCCUUGCUGUGAAUAAUGGUGAGGGGAGACGUAACCCAAAGAAUAAGCACCGGCUAACUCUGUGCCAGCCGCCGCCGUAACAC